GGGCCAGUAGAUCAGCUGGAAGAUCGCCACGUUCGCAUCGUGGAGGCCGCGGGUCCAAGUCCCGCCUGGUCCA
rnacentral:tRNA from 1 species